GUGCAUGGCGUCAGCUACGAUGCAGUCGGACGGAGUAUACAGAUGAAACCUAGUGAUCCGUAUCUCUAGUGGCGGACGGGUGAGUAACGCGUGGAUAACCUGCCUUGUACAGGGGGAUAACACCUGGAAACAGGUGCUAAGACCGCAUAAGCGCACAGUCUCGCAUGGGACAGUGUGAAAAACUCCGGUGGUACAAGAUGGAUCCGCGUCUGAUUAGCCAGUUGGCGGGGUAACGGCCCACCAAAGCGACGAUCAGUAGCCGGCCUGAGAGGGUGAACGGCCACAUUGGGACUGAGACACGGCCCAAACUCCUACGGGAGGCAGCAGUGGGGAAUAUUGCACAAUGGGGGAAACCCUGAUGCAGCAACGCCGCGUGAGUGAAGAAGUAAUUCGUUAUGUAAAGCUCUAUCAGCAGGGAAGAAAAUGACGGUACCUGAGUAAGCAGCCCCGGCUAACUACGUGCCAGCAGCCGCGGUAAUACGUAGGGGGCAAGCGUUAUCCGGAUUUACUGGGUGUAAAGGGAGCGUAGACGGUAAAGCAAGUCUGAAGUGAAAUGCCAGUGCUCAACACUGGAACUGCUUUGGAAACUGUUUGGCUGGAGUGCAGGAGAGGUAAGUGGAAUUCCUAGUGUAGCGGUGAAAUGCGUAGAUAUUAGGAGGAACACCAGUGGCGAAGGCGGCUUACUGGACUGUAACUGACGUUGAGGCUCGAAAGCGUGGGGAGCAAACAGGAUUAGAUACCCUGGUAGUCCACGCGGUAAACGAUGAUUACUAGGUGUCGGGGGGGUAUAACCCUUCCGGUGCCGCCGCAAACGCAAUAAGUAAUCCACCUGGGGAGUACGUUCGCAAGAAUGAAACUCAAAGGAAUUGACCGGGGACCCGCACAAGCGUGGAGCAUGUGGUUUAAUUCGAAGCACGCGAGAACUACUGAUCUGACAUCCCCUGACGUCGUAUGGGCUCCUCGGGCAGGGAGACAGUGUGCAUGUGUCGUCAGCUCGUGU
rnacentral:rRNA from 1 species